ACGUAGGGUGCAGGCGUUAAUCGGAAUUACUGGGCGUAAAGCGUGCGCAGGCGGCGGCCCAAGACAGGUGUGAAAGCCCCGGGCUUAACCUGGGAACUGCAUUUAGGACUGUGGAGCUAGAGUGCGGCAGAGGGAGGUGGAAUUCCACGUGUAGCAGUGAAAUGCGUAGAUAUGUGGAGGAACACCGAUGGCGAAGGCAGCCUCCUGGGCCGACACUGACGCUCAUGCACGAAAGCGUGGGUAGCAAACAGGA
rnacentral:rRNA from 1 species